rnacentral:rRNA from 1 species
AAAACUAGCCAGUCUUUUGGGUAUGAAACCCAUUUGGGCGAGAGUUGUACUAGGAUGGGUGACCUCCUGGGAAGUCCUCGUGAAAGGGUUUC